UUAAGCGACUAAGCGUACACGGUGGAUGCCCUGGCAGUCAGAGGCGAUGAAGGACGUGCUAAUCUGCGAUAAGCGUCGGUGAGGUGAUAUGAACCGUUAUAACCGGCGAUUUCCGAAUGGGGAAACCCAGUGUGUUUCGACACACUAUCAUUAACUGAAUCCAUAGGUUAAUGAGGCGAACCGGGGGAACUGAAACAUCUAAGUACCCCGAGGAAAAGAAAUCAACCGAGAUUCCCCCAGUAGCGGCGAGCGAACGGGGAGGAGCCCAGAGCCUGAAUCAGUGUGUGUGUUAGUGGAAGCGUCUGGAAAGGCGCGCGAUACAGGGUGACAGCCCCGUACACAAAAAUGCACAUAUUGUGAGCUCGAUGAGUAGGGCGGGACACGUGGUAUCCUGUCUGAAUAUGGGGGGACCAUCCUCCAAGGCUAAAUACUCCUGACUGACCGAUAGUGAACCAGUACCGUGAGGGAAAGGCGAAAAGAACCCCGGCGAGGGGAGUGAAAAAGAACCUGAAACCGUGUACGUACAAGCAGUGGGAGCCUCUUUAUGGGGUGACUGCGUACCUUUUGUAUAAUGGGUCAGCGACUUAUAUUCUGUAGCAAGGUUAACCGAAUAGGGGAGCCGAAGGGAAACCGAGUCUUAACUGGGCGUUAAGUUGCAGGGUAUAGACCCGAAACCCGGUGAUCUAGCCAUGGGCAGGUUGAAGGUUGGGUAACACUAACUGGAGGACCGAACCGACUAAUGUUGAAAAAUUAGCGGAUGACUUGUGGCUGGGGGUGAAAGGCCAAUCAAACCGGGAGAUAGCUGGUUCUCCCCGAAAGCUAUUUAGGUAGCGCCUCGUGAAUUCAUCUCCGGGGGUAGAGCACUGUUUCGGCAAGGGGGUCAUCCCGACUUACCAACCCGAUGCAAACUGCGAAUACCGGAGAAUGUUAUCACGGGAGACACACGGCGGGUGCUAACGUCCGUCGUGAAGAGGGAAACAACCCAGACCGCCAGCUAAGGUCCCAAAGUCAUGGUUAAGUGGGAAACGAUGUGGGAAGGCCCAGACAGCCAGGAUGUUGGCUUAGAAGCAGCCAUCAUUUAAAGAAAGCGUAAUAGCUCACUGGUCGAGUCGGCCUGCGCGGAAGAUGUAACGGGGCUAAACCAUGCACCGAAGCUGCGGCAGCGACACUAUGUGUUGUUGGGUAGGGGAGCGUUCUGUAAGCCUGUGAAGGUGGCCUGUGAGGGUUGCUGGAGGUAUCAGAAGUGCGAAUGCUGACAUAAGUAACGAUAAAGCGGGUGAAAAGCCCGCUCGCCGGAAGACCAAGGGUUCCUGUCCAACGUUAAUCGGGGCAGGGUGAGUCGACCCCUAAGGCGAGGCCGAAAGGCGUAGUCGAUGGGAAACAGGUUAAUAUUCCUGUACUUGGUGUUACUGCGAAGGGGGGACGGAGAAGGCUAUGUUGGCCGGGCGACGGUUGUCCCGGUUUAAGCGUGUAGGCUGGUUUUCCAGGCAAAUCCGGAAAACCAAGGCUGAGGCGUGAUGACGAGGCACUACGGUGCUGAAGCGACAAAUGCCCUGCUUCCAGGAAAAGCCUCUAAGCAUCAGGUAACAUCAAAUCGUACCCCAAACCGACACAGGUGGUCAGGUAGAGAAUACCAAGGCGCUUGAGAGAACUCGGGUGAAGGAACUAGGCAAAAUGGUGCCGUAACUUCGGGAGAAGGCACGCUGAUAUGUAGGUGAAGCGACUUGCUCGUGGAGCUGAAAUCAGUCGAAGAUACCAGCUGGCUGCAACUGUUUAUUAAAAACACAGCACUGUGCAAACACGAAAGUGGACGUAUACGGUGUGACGCCUGCCCGGUGCCGGAAGGUUAAUUGAUGGGGUUAGCGGUAACGCGAAGCUCUUGAUCGAAGCCCCGGUAAACGGCGGCCGUAACUAUAACGGUCCUAAGGUAGCGAAAUUCCUUGUCGGGUAAGUUCCGACCUGCACGAAUGGCGUAAUGAUGGCCAGGCUGUCUCCACCCGAGACUCAGUGAAAUUGAACUCGCUGUGAAGAUGCAGUGUACCCGCGGCAAGACGGAAAGACCCCGUGAACCUUUACUAUAGCUUGACACUGAACAUUGAGCCUUGAUGUGUAGGAUAGGUGGGAGGCUUUGAAGUGUGGACGCCAGUCUGCAUGGAGCCGACCUUGAAAUACCACCCUUUAAUGUUUGAUGUUCUAACGUUGGCCCGUAAUCCGGGUUGCGGACAGUGUCUGGUGGGUAGUUUGACUGGGGCGGUCUCCUCCUAAAGAGUAACGGAGGAGCACGAAGGUUGGCUAAUCCUGGUCGGACAUCAGGAGGUUAGUGCAAUGGCAUAAGCCAGCUUGACUGCGAGCGUGACGGCGCGAGCAGGUGCGAAAGCAGGUCAUAGUGAUCCGGUGGUUCUGAAUGGAAGGGCCAUCGCUCAACGGAUAAAAGGUACUCCGGGGAUAACAGGCUGAUACCGCCCAAGAGUUCAUAUCGACGGCGGUGUUUGGCACCUCGAUGUCGGCUCAUCACAUCCUGGGGCUGAAGUAGGUCCCAAGGGUAUGGCUGUUCGCCAUUUAAAGUGGUACGCGAGCUGGGUUUAGAACGUCGUGAGACAGUUCGGUCCCUAUCUGCCGUGGGCGCUGGAGAACUGAGGGGGGCUGCUCCUAGUACGAGAGGACCGGAGUGGACGCAUCACUGGUGUUCGGGUUGUCAUGCCAAUGGCACUGCCCGGUAGCUAAAUGCGGAAGAGAUAAGUGCUGAAAGCAUCUAAGCACGAAACUUGCCCCGAGAUGAGUUCUCCCUGAGACCUAGAGUCUCCUGAAGGAACGUUGAAGACGACGACGUUGAUAGGCCGGGUGUGUAAGCGCAGCGAUGCGUUGAGCUAACCGGUACUAAUGAACCGUGAGGCUUAACCUU
rnacentral:rRNA from 2 species